UGGGGAAUAUUGCACAAUGGGCGCAAGCCUGAUGCAGCGACGCCGCGUGGGGGAUGACGGCCUUCGGGUUGUAAACUCCUUUCGCCAGGGACGAAGCGUUUUGUGACGGUACCUGGAGAAGAAGCGCCGGCUAACUACGUGCCAGCAGCCGCGGUAAUACGUAGGGUGCAAGCGUUGUCCGGAAUUACUGGGCGUAAAGAGCUCGUAGGUGGUUUGUCACGUCGUCUGUGAAAUUCCACAGCUUAACUGUGGGCGUGCAGGCGAUACGGGCUGACUUGAGUACUGUAGGGGUAACUGGAAUUCCUGGUGUAGCGGUGAAAUGCGCAGAUAUCAGGAGGAACACCGAUGGCGAAGGCAGGUUACUGGGCAGUUACUGACGCUGAGGAGCGAAAGCAUGGGUAGCAAACAGGAUUAGAUACCCUGGUAGUCCAUGCCGUAACGGUGGGCGCUAGGUGUAGGGGCCUUUUGGGGUUUCUGUGCCGUAGCUAACGCAUUAAGCGCCCCGCCUGGGGAGUACGGCCGCAAGGCUA
rnacentral:rRNA from 1 species